AGAAUCAACGCUGGCGGCGUGCCUAACACAUGCAAGUCGCACGAGAAAGGGGAGCAAUCCCUAAGUAAAGUGGCGCACGGGUGAGUAACACGUGAAUCAUCUACCUCCGAGUGGGGAAUAACCUAGAGAAAUCUGGGCUAAUACCGCAUAACACUUACGAGUCAAAGCAGCAAUGCGCUUGGAGAGGAGUUCGCGGCCGAUUAGCUAGUUGGCGGGGUAAUGGCCCACAAGGCGAUGAUCGGUAUCCGGCCUGAGAGGGCGCACGGACACACUGGAACUGAAACACGGUCCAGACUCCUACGGGAGGCAGCAGUGGGGAAUUUUGCGCAAUGGGGGAAACCCUGACGCAGCAACGCCGCGUGGAGGAUGAAGUAUCUUGGUACGUAAACUCCUUUCGAUGGGGAAGAUAAUGACGGUACCCAUAGAAGAAGCCCCGGCUAACUUCGUGCCAGCAGCCGC
rnacentral:rRNA from 1 species